rnacentral:tmRNA from 1 species
GGGGCUGAUUAGGAUUCGACGGGAUUCAAGAAGCCUUAGGUGCAUGUCGAGGUGCGGCUGGCCUCGUAAAAAAGCCGCAAUUAAAGUAAUCGCAAACGACGAUUCUUACUCUCUAGCAGCUUAGGCCGCUAGCGCUCCUCCCAAGUAUUCUCGUGGACUGGGAUCCGGAGUGUCACCCUACAUUGAGAUCGCGAUGGAAACCCUGGCCGGGGUUGAAGCGCUAAAACUAAGCGGCCUCGCCUUUGCUUAUCGUGUACGUCCGAGACUUAAAGGUUAAUUAAAUGACGAUACUAAACAUGUAGUACCGAAGGUCGACGCUUUCCGGACGGGGGUUCAAAUCCCCCCAGCUCCACCA